rnacentral:tRNA from 1 species
UUUGGUGGCUCAGUGGUGGAGCGCUCCCCUAGCAUGGGCGGGACCCGGGUUCCAUCCUCAGCACCACAU